AGUGAACGCUGGCGGUAGGCCUAACACAUGCAAGUCGAACGGCAGCACAGUAAGAGCUUGCUCUUACGGGUGGCGAGUGGCGGACGGGUGAGGAAUACAUCGGAAUCUACUUUUUCGUGGGGGAUAACGUAGGGAAACUUACGCUAAUACCGCAUACGACCUACGGGUGAAAGCAGGGGAUCUUCGGACCUUGCGCGAUUGAAUGAGCCGAUGUCGGAUUAGCUAGUUGGCGGGGGAAAGGCCCACCAAGGCGACGAUCCGUAGCUGGUCUGAGAGGAUGAUCAGCCACACUGGAACUGAGACACGGUCCAGACUACUACGGGAGGGAGCAGUGGGGAAUAUUGGACAAUGGGCGCAAGCCUGAUCCAGCCAUACCGCGUGGGUGAAGAAGGCCUUCGGGUUGUAAAGCCCUUUUGUUGGGAAAGAAAAGCAGCAGGUUAAUACCCCGCUGUUCUGACGGUACCCAAAGAAUAAGCACCGGCUAACUUCGUG
rnacentral:rRNA from 1 species